UAUGUGUUUUUAAUGAAAUGUGACAUCUUGUUCUGAGUGAAGUGCAGACAUCCCUUGGCAUUUUUGAGGGGAAACCUGGAAACCUACUCUUUGCUUAUAAUCAGGAUGCACUGCAGCAGAACAAAUACUACCCUGCAGGCAGCUGACUGCAUGGUGCAUUCUUCACAAUGGACCUGGAAAAGAUUUUACAGUGCAAGACCACAGAGGGAAUUGUUGGAGGUCAAAACAGAACUUGGGGACUGGAUUGCUGAAUGUGGGAUCCCCAACAUAUAUUCUGCAUCACUUGCUGUUUUUCCAGCUAUUUACCAACAAAUAAUCACACAAUUCAUGUACCACAGGUUGGGCAUUUUAAUGUAAUGUCAUGCAUAUUCUUUGGACUUAUGCAUUUUGAUUAUUUAUACAUGUAACUGUAUUGCCAGCAUGAUACAGCAAUUAAUCGCUGGAAUGAAUGCUUGUGGCCAGAGGUGGCAAGUUGUCCAAAGUGCAACCUUUGCACGACUUUUCACACAUACAACUAAAAAGCUGUCAUAGAAUGAUAUUCAAGGACUCUUCAACAUUAAAUGGAGUCCACAAGGCAGCAACAAGAGAGAUCAGGAGGAGGACACCAUCUUUCUUUGGGAGUGGUGGUUGAUGUCAGUUGAAAAUAACAGGCUAGAGGAUACUUUGAAGGACAUACUCUUUUUGUAACCAGAGCAGAUUCUGUAUCCCUGGGUUUUCCACACAGCUGUGAAAUCCAAUUUUAUGACCAAGAACCUGAAAGCCAGCGAAUUCCAUACUCUUCCACCUGUGCCCUCAUUUUGUACCUGCCAAGAAGUAUUACAGAAGAGGUGGUGUUUAAAGACUUAAUGCAGAUGGCCAUUAAGGUUUCUGUGGGCUUUGGAAAAGUCUAAAUGGCUUUUAUGAGGCAGACAUGUCCUUUUCCCUUUCAAGGUUUUUUUUUUUUUUUAUUUAUUUCUAUUGUUUCUCUGGGUAUAAAUUGUUGUUCUGCAGUUUUAUACAGCAGUUUAUUUACCAUGAUAGUUGUGAUUAAUUGUAACCUAGCUUGUCCAUACUUUAUUUAUUUAGUUAUGUUAUUAAUAUUGUAUGUUGUAUUACUUAUAUUAAGCAUUUGAGAGACAUAAUUCAUCUUGGUUACAGCUUGUUAAGCUGUAAAUACAUUUAUUCAACUGAAGAAAAUAGAAGACUGUUUGUAUAUUUGUUAUUGGGAUAAUUUAAUAAAAUUUUUUUCAAGGUUGUAAUCUUAAGUCUAUUGAGAGCGAAUAGUUCACUUUGUUGACAGGA